rnacentral:rRNA from 1 species
AUUCCAGCUCCAAUAGCGUAUAUUUAAGUUGUUGCAGUUAAAAAGCUCGUAGUUGGAUUUCGGGUGGGUACCGCCGGUCUCCCACUGGGUAUGUACUGGCGUGGCCCGCCUUGCUGUCGGGGACAAUCUCCUGGGCUUUACUGUCCGGGAAUUGGAGUCGACGAUGUUACUUUGAGUAAAUUAGAGUGUUCAAAGCAAGCCUACGCUCUGAAUAUAAUAGCAUGGGAUAACACGACAGGACUCUGGCCUAUCGUGUUGGUCUGUAGGACCGGAGUAAUGAUUAAGAGGGACAGUCGGGGGCAUUCGUAUUCCAUUGUCAGAGGUGAAAUUCUUGGAUUUAUGGAAGACGAACAUCUGCGAAAGCAUUUGUCAAGGAUGUUUUCAUUA